rnacentral:rRNA from 1 species
UACGUAGGGGCCUAGCGUUGUCCGGAAUUAUUUGGGCGUAAAGAGCUCGUAGGCGGUUCGGCAAGUCGGAAUGUGAAAUCUCCACGCUUAACGUGGAGGGGCCAUUCGAAACUGCUGUGACUCGAGUCCGGUAGGGGAGUGUGGAAUUCCCGGUGUAGCGGUGAAAUGCGCAGAUAUCGGGAGGAACACCAGUAGCGAAGGCGGCACUCUGGGCCGGUACUGGCACC